rnacentral:rRNA from 1 species
AUUGAACGCUGGCGGCAGGCCUAACACAUGCAAGUCGAGCGAGAGGCGGACGGGUGAGUAAUGUCUGGGAAACUGCCUGAUGGCGGGGGGUAACUACUGGAAACGGUAGCUAAUACCGCAUACCCUCAGAUGUGCCCAGAUGGGAUUAGCUCGUAGGGGGGGUAACGGCUCACCUCGGCGACGAUACCUAGCUGGUCUGAGAGGAUGACCAGCCACACGGGAACUGAGACACGGUCCAGACUCCUACGAGAGGCAUCAGUGGGGAAUAGUGCACAAUGGGCGCAAGCCUGAUGCAGCCAUGCCGCGUGUGUGAAGAAGGCCUUCGGGUUGUAAAGCACUUUCAGCGGGGAGGCGUUACCCGCAGAAGAAGCACCGGCUAACUCCGUGCCAGCAGCCGCGGUAAUUC